rnacentral:rRNA from 1 species
AUGAACUCAGUAUCCUUGCUCACAAUCAGGUUCCUGUUUCAGUGUGUUCCAGGUUAUGGGCUAUUAACAUUAUCAUGGGAUCCAGGACAGCUCGCAGUUGAUUCGGCUGCAACUAUUUGCGAUCAAGGUAUCCGUGCCAUUUGUCACCAGCAACUUUCGGUCCAUAAUAGGUUACAGAUUGCAUGGUCAUUUGUUUCGAAAUUCUCUUGUGUUGGAUCAAGGAGGACUGCUGCCAGCUUCUUAUUCGAUUCAGCUGGUGGUUUGGCAGUUGUUGUAUUCAGUACACGGUGCUCGGUUCUUGCAUAUUGUGUUGCCAAUAUAGUACCAUUUUCUGAUCCAGUUGAGUCAGAUUCUACUCCACAAAUAAUUGAGAUGAGGCUUGCUACUCGCACCUUUAGUCACAAGACAGCACCAGCAGUCUCAAAGCAGAAGGAAGUGUGGCAUGAAUCUCAGAUGAAGUGUUGUUUCAACGAGUUGUCUGCAAUCCUGAAUCCUGAUGGUUGCCUGCAUGACAAUAGCACACAACUGUACAUCAUCACUGAUAUUGCUAGUAGCGGUUCACCACUGUCGAGCAAGGUUAUCACACUGCAUCAAUUUCAGUCUAUUGGAUGCUUGGCAUCACCAUGGGACCAUGGUCAACAUGCAACUAUUGCUCACGAGCGCAAGGUUUCUUGGUCUAGUUCUAUGUUUCUACAGGAUGGGAAGUUUCAGAAUGUUAUGGCCGUCACGGUCGAACUCAAGCCUUGGCCCUCUUGGAGGUUGUCCUUAUUGGGUGAUCUGGAGUUGAGCAAAUUAUUUAUGGUCCUUCACAUUCCUUCGGCAGUUUCAAGCAAUAUUCCUGAAUGUUUGAUCGCAUCACCAAGGUCGCAGUCAGUGCCACUACUGCCAUUGCUUGAGGAAGCUCUUGUAAUCCAUUGGAAAAUUUCAUGGCCAGUUCAUUUUUCAGUCAGUGCCACUACUGUCAAUGGUAACAUGACUGAACCUAUCUACUUCACUUGGGUUCCCAAAGAGUUAAUUCCUUCUGGACUUGAUCCUUCGUGCAGCAACUUGUCUUUCGGUGCUAACUACUUUGAGAAGCUUGGAAUUCCAAGACACUUAAUUAGAUUAAUAUCUUGGGGCAUCCAACGACUGCAAGAAUUGUUGAACUACACUACAUUAUCUGAGGAAUUCCUUGUCAGUUUUGUUGUGCCCAUCUACUGGCCUGAUACCGCUCUUAUGCUAUAUGGGUUUGAGCUGCGGCAAUGGAAGAUUGCUUACUCUUUUAGUGAUGCAUUAUCAGAUUCAGCACGCGUUCAGUGGAAAAUGGCUUGGUCACUCUGCUAUGCAUGUUCUGUUAUUGGCAAUGGCAACAUCUCGAGGCGAAGCAUAUAUGAUUAUGGAACAAAAUUGAGAAAAGGCAAAGAUUGUUUGCUGCUCAUUAAUGAUCUAUCCCUGUCGGCUGGGAUAUUGUUUGCACUGGAGUAUGCUGAAUUUCAAGCAGCCUUGAUAGCUAAUUGUGUUGUUAUCAGAUCGCUCGGUGUUGCCACAACCAAUGGGUUCUUACAUGUUCCUGCAGCUGAUUGUGAUGCCCUGUUCAAUUCCGAGGAGAAGCUGUAUCAGUGCAUCAUCCAAAUGCUACAGCUGCAAUGGGACCCAGGUGAUUGCUUUGUUUCAGUUUGGCGACAUGAAAAUCUUGCAAGCACACAUGAUGUCUGCCCCGGGCUUGGUAUUACCACUCUUCAAGUGACAUGGGAUCCCGGAGGUUCGGCACAAUAUCAGUUUGUGGACCAGGCUGAAGACUGGGUUCUAGAUGUUUUGCGAGUUCCAUGGGAUCCCGACGGCACUUUACAACAUCGACUUGAGGGCAAGUCGAAUCUUAUGGGGGAGGGAUUGUUAGCGACCUGGGCCUCGCUGGGCCUCAGGCACUACCCAGCCCACGAAGGAGAUGCACUACAUAUACAGGGGAAGGCCUCCACGAGCAACUUGGCUUGGACCGGAACGGAUCGGCGGCUUCGGCCGAGACUCUCUCUCUCGCUAGGAUAG